UACGUAGGGGGCAAGCGUUGUCCGGAAUCAUUGGGCGUAAAGAGCGUGUAGGCGGCUCGAUAAGUCUGCUGUGAAAGUCCAGGGCUCAACCCUGGAAGGCCGGUGGAAACUGUCGGGCUAGAGUCCGGAAGAGGCGAGUGGAAUUCCCGGUGUAGCGGUGAAAUGCGCAGAUAUCGGGAGGAACACCGGUGGCGAAGGCGGUUCUGCUGGGCCUUACCUGACGCUGAGGAGCGAAAGCGUGGGGAGCGAACAGG
rnacentral:rRNA from 1 species